AACGAACGCUGGCGGCAUGCCUAACACAUGCAAGUCGAACGAGACCUUCGGGUCUAGUGGCGCACGGGUGCGUAACGCGUGGGAACCUGCCCUUAGGUUCGGAAUAACUCCCCGAAAGGGGUGCUAAUACCGGAUAAUGUCUUCGGACCAAAGAUUUAUCGCCUUUGGAUGGGCCCGCGUUGGAUUAGCUAGUUGGUAGGGUAAAAGCCUACCAAGGCGACGAUCCAUAGCUGGUCUGAGAGGAUGAUCAGCCACACUGGGACUGAGACACGGCCCAGACUCCUACGGGAGGCGGCAGUGGGGAAUAUUGGACAAUGGGCGAAAGCCUGAUCCAGCAAUGCCGCGUGAGUGAUGAAGGCCUUAGGGUUGUAAAGCUCUUUUACCCGGGAUGAUAAUGACAGUACCGGGAGAAUAAGCUCGGGCUAACUCCGUG
rnacentral:rRNA from 1 species